AAUUUAGCUUUCACCAUGUUCGUUUGGGUUUUGAAACAUUGAAGCGUAGCUUCUGGGAUCUAGACGAAGGUUUCGAGCUCACUCUGCUAGAAAACCCUAAACUUUGAUGUUGUAACUUCCCGUGGAAAAUUUGAAACGGCGAUAUCUCAGAACCUCUCCAUCAAGGACACAUCUUGAUUAGAGAAGACUUGAUUUUUACCAAAAGGAUUAUUUUCUUGCUCGUCACUGUCUUCUUACGGUGAGAAGUUUAGGCGAAAGUUUUGUUAGUUCGGCGAUUGGAUUUUGAGAGUCUUUUUAGUUAGUAUUAAAUUGGAGUUGAGAUUGAGUCUAAGGAAUAAGAAGAUUACAAUGGAUGGAAAGGGGACGAAAUGUGGUUCCAAGAGAGGAUCUAAGAUUGUUCAGUUUGACGAUGAUGCUGAUGAUGACGAACCUAUCAAUUCCUUCUUAAAGGUUAUGAAGCAUAAAAGUGCCAAGAAGAAUAAAGCUGAUACUGAAAGUAUUGGUAAACAGAGGCAGAACCAGGAUUCUGAAGAUAUGGGUGAUACCUUAGCCAGUUUUAGGAAGAGAUUGAAGAGGCACAAGAAAAGUGUUGGAUCAGGAAUCCCAAGGAUUAGGAACCACAAGGAUGUUCUUCCUAUUGAUACUGUAACAAAUUCUAAUUUGAACUUAAGCGAGGAAGGGCAUGAUAUGGUUGACGAUGCAUCUGAGCUUGGCAUGGAUGGUCCUGUAAACGAAAAGUGCUUGGAAGACAUCUAUAAAACGAAGGUUAAAUCAAAAACAAAAUCAACGAUAAAUGCUGCCGAGGUUGGGACUGAAUCGUUUUGCUCAAAGACAUUGGCUGUCAAGAAGAUGGUUGACUCAACAUUAGACUGUUUUACCCACACGGCGCUCUUAAAUUGCAGGACGAAGAAUAAAAGAAUGGAUUGCAUCUCUGAAAACGGUGCUUCCAAUUCUAUUGAAAAGUGUGCUUCAGAAACUGGAACUCCCCUGCAUAAGUUUUAUGGUAAGGAUGAGGCAGCUUCUCCCGGUCAUGAAAAAGUAGACUUACCCUUGACACUAUCCAGCGAGAAGGAAGCAGAUGUUUUUCGUCAAUGUCCAGAUGAUGAAUCCAAGAGACCACUGCCAAAUGUCCAUGGCAAAGUUUAUCCUACUAAUGCUAGAAAAGACAUUGCAGAUAUUUCCCCUGAGCGGCACUUACACCAAGGAGAGCCAGAAUCUCGCAAGGAUGGAACUGCUGUAGCUUCCCCAGUUUCAGUAACUCCCUGCGAAGACGAAAUUUUCCGGGGUGAUGCAAUUUCAUUACCUAAUUCCGGGAAGCCAUCCACCUUGCAACGUCCAGAGCGCAUUGCUAGAAAGCGUAAGCUUGGAAACAUGGUGUAUGAAGGAGAUACGAAUUGGGAGAAUGAGCAAGGCUUUCUGGAUUGUCAAAGCGACAAGUCCUUUAGAGGAAGCGACAAGUCCUUUAAAGGAAGCGGCAAGUGUGAUUUCGUCCCAUUUAUUUCCAAGGAAACUGAACUUGGUAGAGCAGCUGCGGUGGCAGUUGGUCUAAAAGCCCAGUCGAUAAGUCCAAUUGAGAAGAUUAUACUUAAAGAGGUGUUGAAGCGCAAAGGUAGCCAUCAGGAGUACUUAGUCUGCAGGAAUUCUAUCUUAGGUCUGUGGAGUAAAGAUGUAAGCCGAAUCUUACCUGUCACUGAGUGUGUGGCUGCCAGUGGCCUUUCUGAGAAUGAAUUGCCUUCAGCUUCUCUUAUGAGAGAGGUGUAUAAAUUUCUUGAUGAGAGAGGUUAUAUAAAUGCUGGGAUAUCAUCUGUGAGGGGAAAGGGGGAAGCUUCGACUAAUAAAGAUGAGGAUCUCGUUCUGGGGAAAAAGCUUGAAGAAAGUUCUAUGGCUUCUGUUGCAGAUUCUGAAGACGGAGUUGCUUUUAUCCUUGGUCAGGUCAAAGCCGUUGAAUCGACUAGUGAGGCUAAGAAAUGUGCUCUCCAAAUUGAUGAAACGGAAUUGGUAGGAUGUGCGACCUCAGCAAUGUUGGAGUCUACCAGCAAAACAUGCGAAGCAAGCAUUAUUGACGAUUGCAAACAUUCUGUCAGCAUUAAUGCGUUACCAGCGGAUGCUCCUGCAUCUAAGGUCGAAAAUCACACUGAAACAAUUUCAGUAUCGAAGCCUGCUUUGUCUAGCUCACUGUCCUCUGCAAAUAGUAAUCAUACGAGAGGAAGGGACUGUGUUCAAUGUGAGGUUGAAGAUGAGAAAAAAGUAAUAGUUAUAGGAGCCGGUCCUGCUGGGUUAACAGCAGCACGUCAUUUACAGCGACAAGGUUUUUCUGUCACCGUCCUUGAGGCAAGGAGUAGAGUAGGUGGUCGUGUUUUUACAGACCGGUCAUCACUUUCAGUUCCUGUGGAUCUGGGGGCUAGCAUAAUUACAGGCAUUGAGGCUGAUGUGCCAUCUGAAAGAAUGCCUGAUCCUUCGGUAUUGGUCUGCAACCAAUUAGGUCUGGAUUUGAGUGUGUUGCAUGGAUUCUGUCCUCUUUAUGAUACUGUCACAGGAAAAAAGGUUCCUCCAGAAUUAGAUGAUGCUCUACAAGCAGAGUUCAACAGUCUGAUCGAUGAUGUAGAUUUGCUUGUUGAGGAAAUAGGCAAGGAAAAAGCAAAUAAAAUGUCGCUUGAGGAUGGUCUAGAAUAUGGCCUUCAGCGGCUGAGGAUGCCACAUGACAAAGUGAACAUUGAAAGAAUUGGGCUUGGCAACUCAACUGAUGCUUCCUUCUCAAAAACAGGCAUUAGUGGUACCUCUACGUAUGACGGAAGCGGGAAAAAUGAUUUUUUGAAUCCUUUAGAGCGAAGAGUUAUGAAUUGGCAUUUUGCUCAUACAGAAUAUGGUUGCGCUGCUGUCCUCAAGGAAGUGUCGCUUCCUAACUGGAAUCAAGAUGAGUUUUAUGGCGGGUUUGGAGGGCCACAUGCUAUGAUAAAGGGUGGUUAUAGCAGAGUUGUUGAGUCGCUUGCAGAAGGACUUGACAUUCACUUGAACAAAGUAGUUUCUGAGGUAUCUUAUGCCUCUGAAGUAUCUGCCAUGAAUAACAGCAAGCAUAAAGUCAGAGUUAGUACAUCAAAUGGCUGUGAGUAUCUUGGAGAUGCUGUUCUGGUAACUGUUCCUCUUGGGUGCUUGAAAGCAGAAACCAUUAAGUUUUCACCACCCUUGCCCGAUUGGAAAUAUUCGUCAAUCAAACAACUUGGUUUCGGAGUUCUAAAUAAAGUUGUGUUAGAGUUCUCAAAGGUAUUUUGGGAUGAUAGCUUGGAUUAUUUUGGGGCAACUGCUGAGGAAACAGAUCAAAGAGGUGAGUGCUUUAUGUUUUGGAAUGUCAAAAAAACUGUUGGUGCUCCUGUUCUGAUAGCUUUGGUGGUUGGGAAGGCUGCUGUUGACUAUAAAGACAAAAGUAAGUCUGAGCAUGUGAACCAUGCAAUGAUGGUUCUACGUAAGCUUUUUGGUGGGGAUCUGGUGCCUGAUCCUGUUGCUUCGGUAGUUACUGACUGGGGCACUGAUCCUUACAGUUAUGGUGCCUACUCAUAUGUUGCUAUUGGUGCUUCUGGUGAAGAUUAUGAUGUACUGGGAAGGCCUGUUCAGAAUUGUUUGUUUUUUGCUGGUGAGGCAACAUGCAAAGAGCAUCCUGACACUGUUGGUGGUGCAAUGAUGACUGGAGUCCGGGAAGCUGUGCGUAUAAUUGAUAUAUUUAGAAGUGGAAAUGAUUACACAGCCGAAAUAGAAACACUAGAAAAGGCGCAGAGGAAAUCUCUAUCUGUGAGGGAUGAAGUCAGUGACCUAAUAAAGAGGCUUGAAGUUGUUGAGCUGUCUAAUGUGUUGGCCAGGCAAUCAUUGCUUCGGAACAUGUUCUUCUCUGCUAAAACAACUGUUGGGCGUUUGCAUUUAGCCAAGGAAUUGCUUAACCUACCUGGUGAAACCUUGAAAUCCUUUGCAGGCACAAAAGAAGGGCUUGCAGUGCUGAACUCUUGGAUCCUGGAUUCGAUGGGAAAGAAUGGAACCCAGCUUUUACGUCACUGUGUACAUAUUCUUGUUCAAGUUACGAGUGAUCUCUUUGCCGUGAGGCUCUCAGGCAUUGGGAAGACUGUGAAAGAAAAGGUUUGUGCACACACGAGCCGUGAUAUCCGUGCCAUUGCAAGUCAGCUUGUUAAUGUGUGGCUGGAACUAUACCGGAAAGAAAAAGCUAAUAGUGAAAUGAAAUCAUUGAGACAAACAAAUACGACAAAUAUUUCUAGAAUAAGAAGAAAACUGAAUAGUGAGGAUACAGACAGUAAGGGAAAGCUGUGUAAUGGCAACGAUAUGAAAACAGAUGGAGAACUUGAGGACAACCAGCUACCUAUGUCAGAGGAAGAAAAGGCUGUGUUUGCUGCAGCUGAGGCUGCUCGUGCAGCUGCUGAAGCAGCUGCAAAGGCAUUUUCUGAGGCCUAUCAUAGUACUGCAUUGCAGCUUCCUAAGAUUCCCUCGUUUCAUAAAUUUGCCAGGCGAGAACAGUAUGCAAAGAUGGACGAAUCUGAUUUCAGGAAAAAGUUUCCCGGCAAUGUCUUAGGAAGACAAGAUUGUAUGUCAGAGAUAGACUCUAGGAACUGCAAAGUUCGGGACUGGUAUGAUUUUCCUGCCUCCUGUCUUGACCUUGACAGUUCAAAGAUUCCAGUUGAUAACUGCUCACAGCGUAGUCAUUCGAACGAGCUUGUAUCUCAUUCAAAGUUUAGAGAAUGUUCUGGAGAAAGUGGGGCUGCGGAUAACAGUAUUUUUACCGGGGCAUGGGUUGAUACUGGUGGUAGUAGCGAUGGUGUCAAGGAUUAUAAUGCUAUAGAUAGAUGGCAAUCUCAAGCUGCGGCUGCUGAUCCUGAAUUUUUCAAUCGUGCCUUGCAUAUUAAGGAUGAAGAUUCGAUUGCAUGUUCGCCAGGCCUACCUAGUUGGAAGCAUGACCAACGAGCGAAUGAAUGUUCAAUGUCACAGGUUACAGUGAAUAAAGAGCCACAUAAAAAUCAUAAGAGUCAUAUCCGGGGUGCAGAUCGUUUAAAACAGGGGAUUGUAGAUUUUGUUGCAUCGUUGCUUAUGGCCCCGUAUAGAGCAAAGAAAAUUGAUAGAGAUGUAUACAAGUCAAUAAUGAAGAAGACAGCAACAAAGGUAAUGCAACAGACAACAGACGUGGAGAAAGCCAUGGCUGUUCCACAAUUCCUCGACUCAAAGCGGAAAAACAAGAUUCGUGACUUUGUGGACAAACAAGUUGACAAGUACAUAGCGAUAGCUCAAGUUCCAAAACCUUGAUGGCCACUGGGAUCUAUUGGAAUGGCCAUUACUUGAGUUGGUAUCUGCUGGGAUGGCAAAGCCCCUUCGCAUACACCACACUGCUCAUUUAAUGGAAGCUUAUCUCAAAGAAGCAGAUGGUAGAAGAGAGUUUUUCCAUGAUAUUUUCUCAUACCAGAAGAUUAGGCCGGGACAAGUUUUUGGCAUUAACCUGAUAUGAUGAAGAAUUUGGUCUUGCUAUGUAUGAGUGAAGCAUCUUCUCUCCUCUACCUGGGGGAAAUGUUCUGAGGACUUUCUGAUCAAGUUGCAGGUGUAUGACUCUCACCCUGGCACGAUCGUCAAGAAGUUGGAUUGGUUCAGCUCCCAAGCAUUUCAAUAUUGUGAUGUCCUUCUGUUGUCUUAGACUUGGAAGCAGCUUGUGGUAGAGGCACUGCAACGAGGCAGGUUAAGGAAACGUAGACUUGGCUUGUUUCAAUUUGACCAAUGUUGUUAUCUUUGAUUGAAGCUGUUUUUUAUGGAUGCCGUGGUUCAAGAAUCACUCUGCUUUUUGGGGGAAGAAAUGCAGAGUUGGUUGAGUUGGCAGAGAUAGAGGCUAGAGCACAGCGAUUGCGAUCACACAUCUCUCUGAGUCAAAUUCGUUGUUACAAAAAAUGUUAAGGUCAAUUCACCAAUAUGAAGCACGGUAUUAGAUUUUGUUACUAAAACAUGAAAGCCAAGAUCGAGAGCACUCUCUCUGAGUCAAAAUCGUUGUUACAGAGUAUCCAAUCAUGGAAGCUCUAGAAGGUAAGAAGAAGAUUCUUAAAACGCUCAGAAGUGUGAUUCGAUCAACAACAAAAAAAAAUACAAAUUCCUAGACGUUGCAUUGACGCGCAAGAUUGUUUGCCAAAGCAGUGUCCAAUCUCUGCCUCUCCCUUGCCUGCCUUUGCUCCUUCAUGAGUGAAAUCAUCUCCUCAUAGCUCCCGCCAGUGCUUAUCAUUCUAUCAAACCUCGGCUUCAAAUGCAAAUCAGAAAAUGCUUUCCGCCUCUCCCUGCACUGGUCGCUAAUGUUCUUCACGAGCUCAGGUUGGCCUCUCACAAAAUCUUGGGAAUUCCCAUUCUUGGUUUGGGAAUUCCCAUUCUUCACGAGGAAGUGUUACCGAAAGUAUGAUUAUCAUUUUAUCAAUUUUUCAAUUCAUUAGCAUAUAAACUCU